rnacentral:rRNA from 1 species
GCCGGAUUCAUUAGAGAAAUAGAACACCCAGACUGGCUAGCAAACCUGGUGAUGGUACCAAAGAAGGACAAAUCCUGGCGCCUAUGUGUCGACUUCAAGGACCUCAACAAGGCUUGCACAAAGGAUCCCUUCCCCCUCCCCCGCAUUGAUCAAAUUAUCGAUGCUACCGCAGGACACGAGUCAUUGUGUUUCCUCGACGCAUACUCCGGCUACCACCAAAUCAAGAUGGCGGAGUCCGACCAAGCCGUAACGGCAUUUAUCACACCAUACGACCCCUUCUGUUUCAACACAAUGCCUUUUGGGCUCAAAAACACCGGCGCAACAUAUCAGCGCAUGAUUCAGAUAUGUCUGGAGAAACAAAUCGGCAAAACAGUAGAGGCAUACGUAGAUGAUGUGGUCGUUAAAACCAAACACGUCGACUCUCUAAUAGACGACUUGAGACUCACAUUCAACAAC